UACGUAGGUGGCAAGCGUUUGUUCGGAAUUAUUGGGCGUAAAGGGCGCGUAGGCGGUUUGUUAAGUCGGCUGUGAAAGCCCGGGGCUCAACCCCGGAGGGUCAGCCGAUACUGGCAGACUAGAGUACGGAAGAGGCGAGUGGAAUUCCUGGUGUAGCGGUGAAAUUCGUAGAUAUCGGGAGGAACACCAGUGGCGAAGGCGGCUCUCUGGACAGGUACUGACGCUGAGACGGCGAAAAGCGUGGGGAGCGAACAGG
rnacentral:rRNA from 1 species